UAAGAAACGCGACGUUGGUGACGUGAGCUCGUGACGCGCUGUGCACUGUGGGCAGGAAGAGUGCGCGCGUGUGAGCUGUAGAGAGAGGCGCAUUGAUCGCUCGCGGAGCACAGACACGGAACAAGCUCCAGCACGAUGCGCUUCUAAUGCGGAAUCAAGCCCAUUCUCACCGCAGAACACGCAUCGAGCAGCAGCAGCAGCGGCCGCGCCCGAACCCGGAGAACGGGCUGGAUUCAGGCGGAUUGAACACAGCAGGGCGGCUCAAAGCGGGUGCACGCGGCGCGUUUUAGAAGAGCGAGAGAGCGCGCGCACGCCCGCACGCACGCGCGAGAGAGAGACACUGCCCGUGCUUUAGGAGCCAUGAGAGAAUACAAAGUGGUCGUGUUGGGAUCCGGCGGCGUGGGAAAAUCGGCUUUGACCGUGCAGUUCGUCACCGGGUCCUUCAUCGAGAAGUACGACCCGACGAUAGAGGACUUCUACCGCAAGGAGAUCGAGGUGGACUCGUCGCCGUCGGUGCUGGAGAUCCUGGACACGGCGGGCACCGAGCAGUUCGCCUCCAUGCGCGAUCUGUACAUCAAGAACGGCCAGGGCUUCAUCCUCGUUUACAGUCUGGUCAACCAGCAGAGCUUCCAGGACAUCAAGCCCAUGAGGGACCAGAUCAUCCGCGUCAAGCGCUACGAGAGAGUGCCGAUGAUCCUGGUGGGGAAUAAGGUGGAUCUGGAGGGCGAGCGGGAAGUCUCUUCCGGGGAAGGCAAAGCCCUGGCGGACGAGUGGAACUGCCCGUUCAUGGAAACUUCAGCCAAAAAUAAAGGCUCGGUGGACGAACUGUUCGCGGAGAUCGUCAGACAAAUGAACUACGCCUCGGCGCCGAACGGAGACGACCAGUGCUGCUCGUCCUGCGUGAUUCUUUAAAAACGAGCGCGAUUAGUAGUUGCUCUUUCUCGUUUGUUGCCAUGGUGAGUGAGCCGCGCGUCAAUAACGGCGGAGAACGAGCGAGCGAGCGAGCGAAGUUCGCUCGAGGACAAACACACGACACACAUACAUUCUGCUGUAGUAUGGAAGGCCAUCGCCGCCAUAAAAGAACAAAAACAUACUUGUGAGGUGUCGCAGGAUUUCUGUACUGUUGAGCUACGCGUCUCCUCAUGAGGAGGAGGAGGAGGAGGAGAGCCUGGGAAUAGUGGAUCACUCUUCAGGAAUUCUGCGAAGAUGUCAUUGAUGUCAACACAAGUGUCUUGCACUCACAACUGGAACUUAAACCCCAAAAACGUGGAAAACUGAGACACACAGGAGGAGUUUGUAAUGGCUAUGUUUGACGCACCGGGCUGGACGGAGCGUGUGGACUUGGAAACCCUUGUUGUGAAUCGUUCAAAGUAUUGCUUUUUAGUCUGUCGGCGGGCGACGCCGCUCUUCAAACCACUUUCACGUGCCACUUCCCCCCUCCUCCUCGAGCACACGAGGACUUUACUGUUUUGACGCGAGGAGCUUUACGUCAUCGCGUCGAGUGCCUUCCAAAAAGAGUUUAGUGCCAACCUGCAAGGAGUCUCAAUCCACACAGUACUUAACAGUUACGCUUGCUGAUCGUUUCGGGGCUGAACAACGUUUGAAAGGCCUGUUGUCAACGGAAUGUUGUUUUGUUUUUGUUUUGGCCUUUGAGUAAAAAUCUUUCUGGCUUUUUCCUCAGCCACAGGUACCGAAGCCCCAGACUCAAAACCACAAACCACUGUCUCUAGACCAGUUUUAAAUCAGAUCUUUUGUUUUGUUUUUAACAAAUGUGAUGUACCAUUGAAAUUCUAAUCUGAUUGUACGUUUAAUUUCAGACCAGCCUUUUAACAGCUGUCUGAUUGUUUUAAAGAGACUUUUAAUACAUGCAUUUUUAAAAAACCCA